rnacentral:rRNA from 1 species
UGUCAGUGCUGCAUGGCUGUCGUCAGCUCGUGUCGUGAGAUGUUCGGUUAAGUCCGCUAACGAGCGCAACCCUCGCUGUGUGUUACAAGUGUCACACGGAACUGCCGGUCAUAAACCGGAGGAAGGUGGGGAUGACGUCAAGUCAGCAUGGCCUUUAUAUCCUGGGCUACACACACGCUACAAUGGGAAGGGACAAUAGGUUGCGAAGCCGCGAGGCGGAGCCAAUCCGGCAAAACUUCCCUCAGUUCAGAUUGCAGGCUGCAACUCGCCUGCAUGAAGUUGGAGUUGCUAGUAAACGCAGGUCAGCCAUACUGCGUUGAAUACGUUCCCGGGGCUU